AUGAACGCUGGCGGCGUGCCUAAUACCUGCCAGUCGAGCGAACAGAUGAGGAGCUUGCUCCUCUGACGUUAGCGGCGGACGGGUGAGUAACACGUGGAUAACCUACCUAUAAGACUGGGAUAACUUCGGGAAACCGGAGCUAAUACCGGAUAAUAUAUUGAACCGCAUGGUUCAAUAGUGAAAGACGGUUUUGCUGUCACUUAUAGAUGGAUCCGCGCCGCAUUAGCUAGUUGGUAAGGUAACGGCUUACCAAGGCAACGAUGCGUAGCCGACCUGAGAGGGUGAUCGGCCACACUGGAACUGAGACACGGUCCAGACGCCUACGGGAGGCAGCAGUAGGGAAUCUUCCGCAAUGGGCGAAAGCCUGACGGAGCAACGCCGCGUGAGUGAUGAAGGUCUUCGGAUCGUAAAACUCUGUUAUUAGGGAAGAACAAAUGUGUAAGUAACUAUGCACGUCUUGACGGUACCUAAUCAGAAAGCCACGGCUAACUACGUG
rnacentral:rRNA from 1 species